AUACUAUGAUGGUUGCAUAGUUCAGCAGAUUGAAUUGUGAAGAGAUCUACCAUUUAUUUGUCUGAUGUGUCU
ensembl:snoRNA